rnacentral:lncRNA from 1 species
AUGGCUGAUUCCAACCCCAUUCUGGUUGGCGCUGAGCCCAGCACAGUGCCCCUAGCGGCCACCAGAGGGCGCACAGAGACUCCCAGGCGGGACCAGGGGUCGGUUUGUGGGAGGACGAGGGAGCUGGAGCUCAGCCUCUUGCGCGCAAGCACCAGGCACAACAGCACAACGGACACCCAGAAGCAUGCUGAUGAGAGGGAAGCGGGCUGCAGGAAAAGCUACCCAACUAUAAAUUCGGCCUCCAGUGGAGGAAAGGGGAGAUCAUUCUUCACCUGCCGUGAACAAGAACUUGGAGUCCAGUAUCAUCUUUCCGGUGCCAGAAGGAUGGAGAGAGAGAUCAACAGGUGAACAGAUGAACAGAUAGGUGGAUAGGAAGGCCGCAGGCUCUAAGAAGUGGUGGAUCGCUGCUAUCAAGGAGCCGCCUCAAGCAGGGAUGGCCUGGGGCAGAAGAUGCAAAGGGAAGGAUGGGGUGGGGGGGCUGGAGGGGGGGUUCUCUCCACCCCCUUCACCACUUCAGCCAGACCGCCUCCUCCUCUACGUCGGAUUAUAAAUUGAUUUUAUGAACCCAAUAUGUUGUUUGAAUCAGAGUUCUGGGGUGUGUGUGUGUGUGUGUGUUUUAAGCCACUUAACUAAUGAAGAGAAACAAGAGGCCCAGAGGGAGGCGGUUUGCCCAGGAUUGUACAAGUGCAUCCACAGAAUCCUGCCGAACAGAACUCCUGGGUUCAGAUUCAGGAAUCCAAGCACUUCUUUUGAAAGGGGCUGGGGGCGCUGCCCCCCAACGGGGUUAUACCCUGGCUCACCUCCAGCAGCCACAGUGGGAAGUCGCCAGGCUCCUUGAAACAACAUUCCACCAGGACAGGAACAGACGGAUAACUCAGGCCCAAUUAGGAGCCGAAAAAUCUCACA